GACUCAGUGGCCACCGAUACUUUUAAGCGACAUCACAAUCUACAUCAUGCAUGACCAUCCAGGAAAUGACAUUUUGCUGCAAAAGCGGCUGCUAAAUGAAUACAAGGAGGGAAAUGCAUAUCGACUUUACGGAAGCGGAUGGCUAAAGCAGAUACACAUUCACAAAAUAAGCAAUAAAUCAAAAUAUACGUUUUUGAAAGCUUGGUGCACUCCAUCAAUGCGUAUAAAUAACAAUCCUCAUGAAGUCUGGAUUGGUGCUGUCAAGGAAACUGGAGAGAUACACAGCGCAUACUGCUCGUGUACAGCAGGGCAAGAGAAAUAAUUAUCCAUAAAUAGGCUUGGGGGCCAUGCUUUUAAGGAUAGAAGCUGCUGUGAGGGCAGGACAUACCAAUCCUGCAUGCACGUCACGAGCCUGUGCAUGGAAUGUUCCCCCAAAAAAACAAAAGUUGAGCCAUUCAAGAUAAAGGAUGUAAUGUUUAAAGCUGCAAAAUUCAACAAACAGAACACAGAACACAGUCUGAAAGAUCACCUUCCAGACGCUUGUAUUCAUUCAUUUUUUGAGAAGGCAGAUGGGCCUGGAUGCAAUGAACAUUCAGCAGAGCCUCACAUAUCUGGUAACAACACAUGCAGUGAUCUGUCAUCAUUAGCCCAAUCAUGUAAAAGUACAAAGGAGUUCCUUUCCAAAAUACCCAAAUACAGCAAGGAAAGAGUAGAAGAGAUUGAAAAGAGAACUGUGGGUCAGUCAAGCAAUGCAAACUGGGUUAGCUAUCGGAAAGGAAGAAUUACAUCCUCAAACUUUUAUUCUGUCUUCACUGAAGUAGAAACUCUUAAAAGAUCCCAGCCCACUAAAGACGUGAAUACUGAAUCACUUGUUAACAAACUAAUGGGUUACAACCAAUUAAGCAAGUCUUUGCCAGCCUUGCGACAUGGCAACACAUAUGAGCCUGUUGCGAAGAAGAAGUAUAUCAGUACUGUGGGUUCUAAGCAUCAAAUUUUCAAUCAUAGAGAAAGUGGAUUGUUUGUUGAUCCAGAGAGACCAUACUUAGGAGCAUCACCUGACCUUUUAAUUAACUGUGAGUGUUGUGGACUUGGGACGGUUGAAAUUAAAUGUCCACUUUGUAUUGCUCGAGAAGAUCCACGCACUGCUGAAUUGGCUUAUCUCACAGGUAGUGGACAGGAUAGGAAAUUAAAAACAAACCAUGCAUACUAUGCACAAGUGCAAGGGCAGCUUGCACUUUCAAAGAGAAGAUAUUGUGACUUUUUCAUAUUCACACUUAAAAACACCUUUGUUAAGAGAAUCUAUUUUGACAAAAAUUACUGGUCAACACUGAAGCCAAAUCUGGAAUAUUUCUUUAAUAACUACAUUGCUGAGGAGCUUGUACAUGCUACAUUACAAAGACAUGGUUCAUACAGGUUUUUCAGAAAAAAAUUCAAGGACUUUUCAAGGAUAAUAUUUGAAUUUUCAAGGACUAUUUUUUUACAAUAUGGCAUCAUCAAAAGUAAUCUAUACUACAGAAAGAGUAAAUAAUAUUUGGACUUGAACCAAAAAUCUUUAUUUUUUUUUGUAGUUUAUUAGUAUUGACUGUUCUCAGCUACUUUUUACUACAUAUUUCUGUAACUAUUUACUUCUCAAGGUUCAAACUGAUCUCUUCACUUUCAACCUAUUUACAAACAAUGCUUAUCAGUGUGAAAACAAAAACAUGUCAUUGAGUAGAUUCUUAAUUGUUCACUUUACUUUGGACGCCUCUAUUAUUCUUUCAGUUGUUUCAGUUUCUCAUUGAGAGAAAUAUCCACUUGAACAAGUUCAUCCAUUUUGUCUUUGGCAGUCCUUCUGAAAGAGUUGGCCUGAGUUAAGUGCCUUAAAUUGCCUUCAUCUUCUGCCUUUUGUAGGAGCUGGUCUGCUGUGUCAUUCAGGGUCUUAUUGUCAGAAUCCAGCCUCCGUUUCUUCCUCUUGAUCUCUUCUAUUUCCUCUAGGGUGGACUUUCGCUUUUCCUGUUCUACAGCAGACUUUGUCUUGGCCCUUUCUUGUUCUAGAUAGAGCUCAUACCUUUUUCUGGACUGCUUGACAGAAAGUAACAAUAGCUUACUGAUUUCCACAUUAGCCAAUCCAUCUACAGUCUUGACACAAUCACAAACGACUCUCUUGGCAACAAGUGUUUGUUCCUUCAUGUUCUCCACUUCCAACUCUUUGUUCACACUGAAGCCCCUUUCUACAGCAGCCUGGCUAUGAGAUAGGACUAACACUAGCUUCACAAAAUUGAAUAGCAGCUUGUAGUCAUCGCCACUCAUGAAUUCAUGGAAGAGGGUGUCUAGCCUGUCAUUAGCUGAGUUAAAGCUGAUGAAAUGUAGGGAGCCAAACACUGGGAUGUUGUCAAGGAACAAGUUGUACUCCUGUAGCAGACUGUCACAGUCUUUCUCAGAGAUUCUUCCAGAAUUCAGAACCAAUGUCAAGACCUUCUUGAACUUGAUGGAACAGGAUUCCUUUUCUUUGGCCAUAUUCACAGGAUUCAAGCAGGACAAAUGUCGCACAAGUGAGUAUGAGGCUGGGCACUUUCCUUGCAACUUUGUAAGCAGAUCAAUGAGGCAGGCUCUGCACUCCAUCCUAAACUGUAGCACUUCACCUUAACUUGGUUUUGCAGCUUUCAAUUUCUCACUUGCAUAGCCUAUAUCUAUCCUCUUGUGGUUGAUGUAGAGUUUCUUGUCAAGCUUUUCAUCACUGCAUUGUUCCAUCACAUCAUGCUUAAUAAAACGUCGCAUGAGUGCUCUGAUAAGCAUGCACAACUCAUCACUAAGGAAAGGCACCAUGGGCUUUUCUGUCUGGUACUUGGUGAGAAAUGGCUGUAGCUGAUUUGCAAUGCACUUGAAGAAGUGAAGUUUUGCAACAAAGCAUUUCUCUUUAACACAUUCUCUUAUGACUUCAUAAGACUUAUUCUGUGGCUUUGUUAUCUUGCCUUCAUCAGCAGCUUUGACAAGCUUGACAAUGUUGUCCCAGAUGUCCAAAGCUCUCUGGCAUACAGGGACAUUCUCUAGCCACCUGUGCUUGACAAACUUGAGGGGCAUCAAUGUCGAACUGGUUAUUGUGCAGUAAUCUUUUUUCCUAGCUGGUGCAUCUUUGAAUAAAUAAUACAAACUGGAAAGGUAUGACUCGACUUUCCAGCCUGUUGCACUUAUUCCCCUCUUGAAGCUGUUAUGUACAAUGUGCAGGCCACCUGAACCAAUGUUGAUGAGUAUGAUCCCAUAAUCAUCAAAGAUCUUCUUCUUUAAAUCAUUGAAGAACUUCCAGUUUACAUUGGGGCCAUCCAUGCUGACUUGAAUCAUAUCCUUGACAGACAGGCCACUUUCAAGUACACACUUAGUGAAAUGUCCAUUAGGUCAGCAGCAGUGCCGUGCCCUUUAAAUAGACAAAGAACCAAGUUACAGAACUGUAUAUUCAUUUGAAAGCUCUUGACGCACAGUCAGAGACCUAUCACAAGUCCAAUCAUUCAUGUGGACUCAAUGCAGCUCUGAAAAACAAUGUGGUUUGCUUGAAGCCCUAAAUAUAAUACCAACUGAAUAUUUACCUGUGAAAACAGUUUUAUUAAAUAACCUGCAGGGGUUUCUGAAAAAAAUGUGGCAUCAUUUUAUUGCUAUUUUUCUCUGAUAUUUUGUGUAAUAAGUUGACUUGAAGGCUUUUUUAUUCACCUAUUUUAUUAACACAAUACAAAACAUGGCGGACUACACGAGGAACUCUAUCCGGGUGCGCAUGUGCGAAAGAUAUGCUAAUUAACCGGAAGUAAAACUACAACAUCCCCUUCUCUAAGCUGAAAAGCUGAAAAAUUACAUGAGUACAAAUGUGACUGGUAGUGUCCAAUUAGGGGUG